rnacentral:lncRNA from 1 species
GUGGAAUUUUGUUUGAAAUAAAGAAAAAUAUCUUUGAUCAAAUGAAUGACGACUAAGCAUUGAAUAAUUAUUAUGUAGUUGAAGGGUCAAUUUAACAUUGAUUUGAAAACUAAUCAGGACCCAUUAGAGGCGUAAGCAAAGGAGAGAAUAAGAAUACUAAUUUUGAUCAAACCCAACGAAUUUUACAUUUUGAAACUUAAAAUAUGUCACACUCUAAAGGCUAUAAACCAACAAAAUCGAGAUAUUGACUUUUUCGUCGUUACUCUUAUUUUAUUUUAUCCAAAGCUUUUUUUUCAAGAAUUUGGUUGAGGAUAACGCCAAGAGUGUCAACUUCUCGUAUACAAUUAUCUAUGCCUCUCGAAUUAAUUUCAUAUUAUUACGUAAUAUAUGUAAAUUUCUUAUAAAUUGUAAUCAUCUGAUCAUGAAAAUAAAAGACUUAUAAAGUAUGUAUAUAUGUGUAUUAAUUUUACCCCAAUCCAUAACAUUAUAUAAAUCGACUAGUAUUGUUAUAUGUUUGAAUAAGGUUUUUGUGAUAAAUAGACUACAUUGUAUAAACUGGAUGCAAAAUAAAUGAGAAAACCAUGAACACGAAAGAAGAUCAUGACAUAAUCUUCUAUAUGGACCAACCAUAUCAAAGUAAAACAGAGAUAUAUGGAUCAAUAAAGAUACUGUUGUCAAGAAUGAAUGAAAACGUACUUGGGAUGUCCCAAGGCUCACACU